CAGUCGCCACUGGAAUACAGAGGGUGCGAGCGUUAAUCGGAUUUACUGGGCGUAAAGCGUGCGUAGGCGGCUAAUUGAGUCGGAUGUGAAAUCCCCGAGCUUAACUUGGGAAUUGCAUUCGAUACUGGUUAGCUAGAGUGUGGGAGAGGAUGGUAGAAUUCCAGGUGUAGCGGUGAAAUGCGUAGAGAUCUGGAGGAAUACCGAUGGCGAAGGCAGCCAUCUGGCCUAACACUGACGCUGAGGUACGAAAGCAUGGGGAGCAAACAGGAUUAGAUACCCGGGUAGUCCCUGUCUCUUAUAC
rnacentral:rRNA from 1 species